AUUUUAUUUAAAAAAAUAUAGCAUAACAAGGAGAAAGAAGGAGAAGAAAAAGGAAGGGGGAAGAUCAAAGAUGAGGUACGUAUUGAGGGUGAGAUUGGCUUCAUUCUUCACGGGGCCAGCAACGGAGUCGUUUCUGGGUUUCUACAUCUCUACAAGGAUUACAAGGUUGCCCAUGAAUCCAUCACCCAACAGCUGAAAAGUCUUCAUGAGCCCCUGGAUCGGCGAAUAUCUGCUCUGGAAAGUUUGAAACAAGGUGAAACUUCGCAACACGCGGAAGCAUAAGAGUAUAAUGUUUCCUAACAAUGAAAUUGGUUCCUUUCCUUCGUUUUUCCUUUCGGACCUCUUAUGAUAAACAGAUAUUUGUAGCUGAAGUUUGUGUACUUCUUUAUGGGAAUACCUUCGCCAGAUGACAUGAUUUCCCUCAUUUAUUCGGUUUUUCUAUAAUGGGUGGAACAGUGGUUGCAUUUUGAAAUUGAGUGAAUUCAGUCUGUGGUUAACUUGAUGAAUUGCUGUGUUAUAUCUUGCCAGUUAUUUAGUUGUUAACUGAUUAAUUGUACCAUGAUUAUGGAAAUAUUACCGUUGUUUCUAUAUAUACAUUUUAAUAGCACAA